rnacentral:lncRNA from 1 species
UUUCUUUCCCUGCCUAGCUCCUCUCUAUAAUUCAACAGAGUAAUGAAACUUCAUAAAUACAAAAGCCAGGUCACAUUAAUAGAAGCCUAAUAUUCAGAAUGGUGGCACUGAUAACAGUCCAAUCUGUGCAGCUCAUUCAUUCAUUAUAUUUGUGAGCCCCAGUUAAAAUAAAAACAUAAUUGCAUUGGGUUCUAGUGUGUUAUAUAUUUCCUUCUGAUGUACUCAUCAUUUUCCCAGGAUCUCUCUAAAGACAAUGAUUUUCUUAAUCCACAAAGGAAGUGGUGCCAUUUCAUGAUUAAAGGCAUAGUGUCUAAAGUUAGGUUGCCUAAGAUAAAAGUUUACCCUGGAUCUUGUACUUUAUUCUUGAGCAUACAUUUUGUAAUGUCUAUGGCUAUUUUCAAUACUAGAGCAGUAAGACAAAAAUUUAAAUAGGUAUUUAUUAUUUAAACAAUUGUAGAGGUUUUAUUUUCGGAUUUCAUGUGGGAAACAAUGAGAGGAAAACACUGAAAUUUAGACAUUUUAAUCUUUAUAUCAUAUUCAAUUAGACUUUGAAUCCCACAAUAUAUCAGGGCUUGUAGUCAUUAGAAGUCUAAGUAUGUUGAAAUAUAAGAGUAAAGAAUAUUCUGUAGACCCCUUUUUUAAAAUCUAGGUUAAAGAUGUCAGUGUAAUGGAAUAAACAAACAAACAAAAAGCAGUGACUACUGUUAAAUGUACAUACUUUCCAAUAUUAUUCCCAUGUUUUUGCUUUGCCUCCUAUGCGUAUGUAUUUUCACGUAUGUGUUCACACACAGAUGCACAAAGCUAGUGGACCUGUGGUGCAUAUUACAUUGAGAAAAUAUCACAUCUGUUGAACUUAAAGACAUAAUCCAGGGGAAAGUUAGGUUUUCUAAAUGACUCCUUUUUGUCUCUUUCAUUUUCUUAACAUGUAAUAUAUUGAAUAGAUAUUUAAACAUUUAAUAUAUUGAAACUAUAAUGAAGAGUGUUUGUUAUGAGAAAAGAGAGAGGACAGACAAGAGAAAAGAAUGGCUAGAAGUUCAAAGUUCCACAGAUCUCUGGGGCAGGGACAAAAAGCCACCAGUCUCUUUGCUAAAGCAUAGCAAGAGUGAAUUUUAUUCCAGUUCCCAAAAAGUUUCUCAUUUCCAUCUGAGACCACUAGGCCUAGACUUCAUUGUCUGUAUCACUAUCAGCAUUUUGGUUCAAAGGCAUUCGACAAGUCUCUAGGAAGAUCCAAACUUUCCCACAUCUUCCUGUCUUCUUCUGAGUCCUCCAAACUGUUCCAACCUCUGCUUGUUACCCAGUUCCAGUCACUUGUACAUUC